rnacentral:rRNA from 1 species
UGGGGAAUUUUGGACAAUGGGCGAAAGCCUGAUCCAGCAAUGCCGCGUGUGUGAAGAAGGCCUUCGGGUUGUAAAGCACUUUUGUCCGGAAAGAAAUCCUUGGCUCUAAUACAGUCGGGGGAUGACGGUACCGGAAGAAUAAGCACCGGCUAACUACGUGCCAGCAGCCGCGGUAAUACGUAGGGUGCAAGCGUUAAUCGGAAUUACUGGGCGUAAAGCGUGCGCAGGCGGUUUGCUAAGACCGAUGUGAAAUCCCCGGGCUCAACCUGGGAACUGCAUUGGUGACUGGCAGGCUAGAGUAUGGCAGAGGGGGGUAGAAUUCCACGUGUAGCAGUGAAAUGCGUAGAGAUGUGGAGGAAUACCGAUGGCGAAGGCAGCCCCCUGGGCCAAUACUGACGCUCAUGCACGAAAGCGUGGGGAGCAAACAGGAUUAGAUACCCUGGUAGUCCACGCCCUAAACGAUGUCAACUAGUUGUUGGGGAUUCAUUUCCUUAGUAACGUAGCUAACGCGUGAAGUUGACCGCCUGGGGAGUACGGUCGCAAGGUUAAAACUC